rnacentral:rRNA from 1 species
UAGCCACGGUAAUACCAGCCCCGCGAGUGGUCGGGACGCUUACUGGGCCUAAAAGCGCCCGUAGCCGGCCCAGCAAGCCCUUACUGAAAUCCUCAGGCUCAAACCUGAGGAUCGGUAAGGGGACUGCUGGGCUAGGGGGCGGGAGAGGCCGAGGGUACUCCCGGGGUAGGGGCGAAAUCCUAUAAUCCCGGGAGGACCACCAGUGGCGAAGGC